rnacentral:rRNA from 1 species
UACAGAGGGGGCAAGCGUUAUUCGGAAUUAUUGGGCGUAAAGGGCGCGUAGGCGGCUUUGCAAGUGACGGGUGAAAUCCCACGGCUUAACCGUGGAACUGCCUGUCAGACUGCAUGGCUUGAGACCAGGAGAGGUGAGUGGAAUUCCCAGUGUAGCGGUGAAAUGCGUAGAUAUUGGGAGGAACACCAGUGGCGAAGGCGGCUCUCUGGAACGGUACUGACGCUGAGACGCGAAAGCGUGGGGAGCGAACAGG